GAUGAACGCUGGCGGCGUGCCUAAUACAUGCAAGUCGAGCGAACGGACGAGAAGCUUGCUUCUCUGAUGUUAGCGGCGGACGGGUGAGUAACACGUGGAUAACCUACCUAUAAGACUGGGAUAACUUCGGGAAACCGGAGCUAAUACCGGAUAAUAUUUUGAACCGCAUGGUUCAAAAGUGAAAGACGGUCUUGCUGUCACUUAUAGAUGGAUCCGCGCUGCAUUAGCUAGUUGGUAAGGUAACGGCUUACCAAGGCAACGAUGCAUAGCCGACCUGAGAGAGUGAUCGGCCACACUGGAACUGAGACACGGUCCAGACUCCUACGGGAGGCAGCAGUAGGGAAUCUUCCGCAAUGGGCGAAAGCCUGACGGAGCAACGCCGCGUGAGUGAUGAAGGUCUUCGGAUCGUAAAACUCUGUUAUUAGGGAAGAACAUAUGUGUAAGUAACUGUGCACAUCUUGACGGUACCUAAUCAGAAAGCCACGGCUAACUACGUG
rnacentral:rRNA from 1 species